rnacentral:rRNA from 1 species
CAUGGUUUUAACGGGUAACGGGGAAUUAGGGUUCGAUUCCGGAGAGGGAGCCUGAGAAACGGCUACCACAUCCAAGGAAGGCAGCAGGCGCGCAAAUUACCCAAUCCCAACACGGGGAGGUAGUGACAAUAAAUAACAAUACAGGGCCUUUACGGGUCUUGUAAUUGGAAUGAGUACAAUUUAAAUCCCUUAACGAGGAACAAUUGGAGGGCAAGUCUGGUGCCAGCAGCCGCGGUAAUUCCAGCUCCAAUAGCGUAUAUUAAAGUUGUUGCAGUUAAAAAGCUCGUAGUUGAAUUUUAGCCUUGGCUGGGUGGUCCUGCCUUUUGGUAGGUACUGCUUUGGCUGGGGCUCACCUUCUGGUAAAGCAUCAUGUUCUUAAUUGGAUGUGGUGGGGAACCAGGACUUUUACUUUGAAAAAAUUAGAGUGUUUAAAGCAGGCAUUUGCUUGAAUACAUUAGCAUGGCAUAAUAGAAUAGGACUUUGGUUCUAUUUUGUUGGUUUCUAGGACUGAAGUAAUGAUUAAUAGGGAUAGUUGGGGGCAUUAGUAUUUAAUUGUCAGAGGUGAAAUUCUUGGAUUUAUGAAAGACUAACUUCUGCGAAAGCAUUUGCCAAGGAUGUUUUCAUUAAUCAAGAACGAAAGUUAGGGGAUCGAAGACGAUCAGAUACCGUCGUAGUCUUAACCAUAAACUAUGCCGACUAGGGAUCGGACGAUGUUAUUUUUUUGACUCGUUCGGCACCUUAUGAGAAAUCAAAGUUUUUAGGUUCCGGGGGGAGUAUGGUCGCAAGGCUGAAACUUAAAGGAAUUGACGGAAGGGCACCACCAGGAGUGGAGCCUGCG